rnacentral:rRNA from 1 species
CCUACGGGUGGCAGCAGUCGAGAAUCAUUCACAAUGGGGGAAACCCUGAUGGUGCGACGCCGCGUGGGGGAAUGAAGGUCUUCGGAUUGUAAACCCCUGUCAUGGGGGAGCAAAUUAAAAAGAUAGUACCACAAGAGGAAGAGACGGCUAACUCUGUGCCAGCAGCCGCGGUAAUACAGAGGUCUCAAGCGUUGUUCGGAAUCACUGGGCGUAAGGCGUGCGUAGGCUGUUUCGUAAGUCGUGUGUGAAAGGCGCGGGCUCAACCCGCGGACGGCACAUGAUACUGCGAGACUAGAGUAAUGGAGGGGGAACCGGAAUUCUCGGUGUAGCAGUGAAAUGCGUAGAUAUCGAGAGGAACACUAGGGGCGAAGGCGGGUUCCUGGACAUUAACUGACGCUGAGGCACGAAGGCCAGGGGAGCGAAAGGGAUUAGAUACCCGUGUAGUC